AUUGAACGCUGGCGGCAUGCCUAACACAUGCAAGUCGAACGGUAACAGGCCCUUCGGGGUGCUGACGAGUGGCGGAUGGGUGAGUAAUACUUAGGAAUCUACCCUGUAGUGGGGGACGAACCCGGGGAAACUCGGGCUAAUACCGCAUACACUCUACGGAGGAAAGCGGGGGACCGGCAAGGCCUCGCGCUAUUGGAUGAGCCUAAGCCCGAUUAGCUAGUUGGUGGGGUAAAUAGCCUACCAAGGCAGUGAUCGGUAGCUGGUCUGAGAGGACGACCAGCCACACUGGGACUGAGACACGGCCCAGACUCCUACGGGAGGCAGCAGUGGGGAAUAUUGGACAAUGGGCGAAAAGCCUGAUCCAGCGAUGCCGCGU
rnacentral:rRNA from 1 species